UCAGGUGGUUAUAGCACGAGGGUUCCACCUCUUCCCAUUCCGAACAGAGAAGUUAAGCCUCGUCACGCCGAUGGUACUGCGUAACAGUGGGAGAGUAGG
rnacentral:rRNA from 1 species